AUGAACCAUGGACUAUAAUAGUUUCAAGUCUUAGAUAAGCAUGAGUUUGAAUGAAUGAUGGAUUGUAGUAGUUGCACCAGCUGAAUGCCGGAAUACUACAUAUGAUGUAAAUGAGCUUUAGCUUGUUACUUUUGAGACAAUCAUAAGUUUUUAUUCCAGCUUAAUUGACUGACAAUUGAUUAAUCUUUUGGAUUUCCAUCAGAACGUAUCAAGUCACAUGUUGGAAGCUUCUGUUGGAUUUUCUCAACUGUUUCUGCCGCUAAUAGCACACAAGAAAAGCCAGGUUUAUAUUUCUCACGUUUGAUGUAGUUAAGGAAUUGGAAUCAAAGUGAAUAGCUGGGAUGGGUAGUUCCAUCUAUAUAUAUUGUAUACAAGACUUGAAGAUGAAGGAAGGAUAUGGGAUAAGUUCGAUCCUCAUUUUCUUGCCUUUUGGUCAUGACUGGUUGUGGCUUAUAGCAUUAUAUUGGUUCUUCAGGUUAGCGAAAGCCUUCCUUUAGUGGUGUGAACCAUACAGAGCAUUUGCGUGAUGAGAACAGAGAAAGGUUUAGAAAAUGUCAGGUGCAAUUCAAAGAUCUGGUUGGUUUCCAUCUUACAGUUAGUUGCAUUGCAUGUAUAGAAAUGUGAACUUUGGCUGUUUCAGAUCAUAGUGGUUGAAAUAGUUGUAGUAUUUUUGUGAACGGUUUAAUUUUUGUACAUAAUAUGUACAGUGGCGUGAAUACUAUACUACUGAGAUACAUUAUGGUGUUAAUCACUUCUUUGACAGAUGUAUUGCACUUUUCAGAAUUCCUUUUCUGGGUAAUUAAUAGACUUGAUGUUCCCUCCUUA